rnacentral:rRNA from 1 species
UACAGAGGCCACAAGCGUUAGUCGGAAUCACUGGGCUUAAAGGGUGCGUAGGCGGGUCGGAAAGUGUUCUGUGAAAGCCCUCAGCUCAACUGAGGAACCGCAGGGCAUACUACCGAUCUUGAGGCAAGUAUGGGUGGGCAGAACAGUAGGUGGAGCGGUGAAAUGCGUAGAUAUCUACUGGAAUGCCGAUGGUGAAGACGGCCCACUGGGCUUGUCCUGACGCUGAGGCACGAAAGCGUGGGGAGCAAACAGG